rnacentral:rRNA from 1 species
AAGCAUAUCAAUAAGCGGAGGAAAAGAAACCAACAGGGAUUGCCUCAGUAACUGCGAGUGAAGCGGCAAAAGCUCAAAUUUGAAAUCUGGUACCUUUGGGUGCUCGAGUUGUAAUUUGGAGAGGCAACUUCGAAGGAGGCGCUGGCCUAAGUUCCUUGGAACAGGACGUCACAGAGGGUGAGAAUCCCGUGCUUGGCUGGCUGUCCUCCUUCAUGUGAAGUGUCUUCGACGAGUCGAGUUGUUUGGGAAUGCAGCUCAAAAUGGGUGGUAAACUCCAUCUAAGGCUAAAUAUUGGCGAGAGACCGAUAGCGCACAAGUAGAGUGAUCGAAAGAUGAAAAGCACUUUGAAAAGAGAGUUAAACAGUACGUGAAAUUGUUGAAAGGGAAGCGCUUGAGACCAGACUCGGUGAUAGGUGAUCAGCGGUUGCUUUUGCUCCGUGCACUUGCCUUUUAUCGGGCCAGCAUCAGUUGCGACGGUGGGAUAAAGACUCAGGGAAUGUGGCUCUCUUCGGGGAGUGUUAUAGCCCUGGGUGUAAUGCCACCUGUUGCGACUGAGGACCGCGCUUCGGCUAGGAUGCUGGCAUAAUGGUCUUCAGCGACCCGUCUUGAAACACGGACCAAGGAGUCUAACAUCUAUGCGAGUGUUCGG